rnacentral:rRNA from 1 species
CAGUCGCCGCGGGAAUACGUAGGGUGCAAGCGUUAAUCGGAAUUACUGGGCGUAAAGCGUGCGCAGGCGGUUAUAUAAGACAGAUGUGAAAUCCCCGGGCUCAACCUGGGAACUGCAUUUGUGACUGUAUAGCUAGAGUACGGCAGAGGGGGAUGGAAUUCCGCGUGUAGCAGUGAAAUGCGUAGAUAUGCGGAGGAACACCGAUGGCGAAGGCAAUCCCCUGGGCCUGUACUGACGCUCAUGCACGAAAGCGUGGGGAGCAAACAGGAUUAGAGACCCCCGUAGUCCCUGUCUCUUAUAC